rnacentral:rRNA from 1 species
UACAGAGGUCUCAAGCGUUGUUCGGAUUCAUUGGGCGUAAAGGGUGCGUAGGUGGGCUGGUAAGUCCGUGGUGAAAUCUCCAAGCUUAACUUGGAAACUGCCGUGGAUACUAUUAGUCUUGAAUGUUGUGGAGGUAAGCGGAAUAUGUCAUGUAGCGGUGAAAUGCUUAGAUAUGACAUAGAACACCGAUAGCGAAGGCAGCUUGCUACACAAUUAUUGACACUGAGGCACGAAAGCGUGGGGAUCAAACAGG